CAAAAACAUAGCCCUAAAGAAUAAUCUAAGGUGAUGCCUGCCCAAUGGUCUACAUAAUCUUCUUUUAAAUAAAGAAGCAAAAAAAAUUCUCAAUGGCCGCAGUAUUCCUAACUGCAUCAAAGUAGCACAAUAAAUUGCCGCCUAAUUAGCGGAUUGUAUGAAUGGUGAUACGAGAGUUUCACUGUCUUAAGUGUAAGAAUUAAAAAAUUGAAAUAGUAGUUAAGAUGCUACUUAAAAUCGUUAGACGAUAAGACCCUAUAAAGCUUAACUAUAAUCUGCUACUAUUAUUUAAUUAUUGGCAGAUUGGUAGUUUACUUGGGGCAAGGACUUUUUAAAAAUAAAAAAAGUAAGCAAAAUAAUAAAACAUUUAUUGUAUAAAUAAUAAUUUUAACAGUUACAAUGUAGGCUAUAAUGACCCGUUUUAUCCGUAAAAAAGGGAAAACAAUUAUUAAAUAAAAGCUACUUUAGGGAUAACAGGAUAAUUUUAUUAAAGAGUUCAUAUCGCUAAUAAAGUUUGUCACCUCGAUGUUGAAUUAGGAUAUCCAAGCGGAGCAGAAACUGCUAAAGGUAGGUCUGUUCGACCUUUAAACAUCUUACAUGAUUUGAGUUCAUUC
rnacentral:rRNA from 1 species